rnacentral:lncRNA from 1 species
AGGACUGUAACGGUAAAAAAAACCCAUUAAAUAUCCGAAAUACUCUUGACUUUUAUCAUUUUGUUCUACCCAUUUCACCUCCAUCGCAGACGAGAUUGAAGGCUACCCUAUCAUCGAUUCUCGCUUUAAGAAAAUAAAAUCGACCUAGAUUUUGACGCGCUGGGUUAGAGCUAAAGCCGGAUUUCCUCUGGCUCCUCCCCUUCCCUUUCUUUUCCUGUUUGAAUCCAGAUCUAGAUCUAGAUCUACUUCUACAUAAUAGCUGCUGCUUUUUUCUGUUACUUGUAUGUGUUUUUCUUGAGCGUGAUAAUUAUUCUACAGAUCUGUAAUAAAUCAAGGUUCUCCAUCAUAUCUCUUUGUUAGUUUUUUUCUAAUAAUAAUUUCUAGGAUCCAGUUUAUACAGAUCUGAAGGUUAAUGUCAAAAAAUUUCUGCAGGUGUAAAAGCUUGCCUACUUGUGGCCAUAGAAGGUUACUACCUUGCUUUUUGAAGGCCAAUUCCCUAAGAAAGAGAUCGGGGAAUGUUUAAUCUUCUUCCUUUCACUAACGGAGUCCGUUUGCAUAAUUUGUUACCUUUAAAACUAUUGUUUUGAGCUGUAAAUUGAUGGAAUGGAAGGAAAAUCUAAGAAUUUUCGUUGUAUUUGUUGUUUGUGGGUUGAUUGUAUUGGGUAAUCUGAAAAUUUUGAUUUGAAUCAAACGGAAUUUUUUGGAUUUUCUGUGAUUUUUGAGAAAUUGCAGGCACGAUUAGGGUUUUGAAAUGGGGGAACCAAUGUUAACAGUCUCCCUCUUUCUCUCUCCUCUCUGUUCUCCUCUCUGUUCUCAUCUGCACUGACAAUGGCUUAUCUGCGUGAGAUCUUCGGCGAUCCUGAUGGGAAUGUAAAUUUCUUAGUCAUCCAAAUAUAGCGCUCCAACCGUUUGAUCUAAUUCCUGAACCAAUCUUUUGCUUGGGAAAGUAUGUAGUUUCUUUACAGGAAGAGGUAGAGAAAAAAAUAAUCAAAAUUCUGAAAAUGGGGGGUAAUUAAGUCUUUAUCCAAUUUAAGUAACGAAGUUAUAAUAGAAAACAGUUAUUCAUUUUAACUUAAAAAGUCGGGAGUUUAAAUGUAGUUUUACUGACUAUAGGUGGUUAAGUGAAAAAUCGUUCAAAUUUCAAGUGGUCAUCUGAACUUAACCCUAAAAAGUAAGGUGUUGAAUUUGCAUUUAUUUUAAAAAUUAAUUUUAACAUUAUGAAAAUAAAUCUGAUUUGCGUUUACUUAAUAUUAACUUUCUACAGAGAGAAAGUGUACAAAAUUUUUAGUGAGAGAAUCAUAAAAAAAUUUAGAGAGAAAUGUAUUAAUUUAUUUUAAAAAG